UACGUAGGGUGCAAGCGUUGUCCGGAAUUAUUGGGCGUAAAGAGCUCGUAGGCGGUCUGUUGCGUCGGCUGUGAAAACCCGGGGCUCAACCCCGGGCCUGCAGCCGAUACGGGCAGACUAGAGUUCGGCAGGGGAGACUGGAAUUCCUGGUGUAGCGGUGAAAUGCGCAGAUAUCAGGAAGAACACCCGUGGCUAAGGCGGUUCUCUAGUACGGUACUGACGCUGAGACGCGAAAGCGUGGGGAGCGAACAGG
rnacentral:rRNA from 1 species